AUUGAACGCUGGCGGAAUGCUUUACACAUGCAAGUCGAACGGCAGCACGGACUUCGGUCUGGUGGCGAGUGGCGAACGGGUGAGUAAUGUAUCGGAACGUGCCCAGUCGUGGGGGAUAACGUAGUGAAAAUUACGCUAAUACCGCAUACGAUCUAUGGAUGAAAGCGGGGGAUCGCAAGACCUCGCGCGAUUGGAGCGGCCGAUAUCAGAUUAGGUAGUUGGUGGGGUAAAGGCCCACCAAGCCAACGAUCUGGAGCUGGUCUCAGAGGACGACCAGCCGCGCUGGAACUGAGACACGGUCCAGGCUCCUACGGGAGGCAGCAGUGGGGAAUUUUGGACAAUGGGCGAAAGCCUGAUCCAGCCAUUCCGCGUGCAGGAUGAAGGCCCUCGGGUUGUAAACUGCUUUUGUACAGAACGAAAAGGUUUCUACUAAUACUAGGAGCUCAUGACGGUACUGUAAGAAUAAGCACCGGCUAACUACGUGCCAGCCGCCGCGGUAA
rnacentral:rRNA from 1 species